rnacentral:pre_miRNA from 1 species
UCGCUGCUUGGAGUGACAAGUACCGGCCACUCGCUGCUUGGAGUAAGCAGCGAGUGGCCGGUACUUGUCACUCCAAGCAGCGA